rnacentral:tRNA from 1 species
CUCGAUAUAGCAUAAUUUGGUAGUGCACUCGGCCUGGGACCGAGUUUGUAAAGGUUCAAAUCCUUUUAUCGAGA